CUUGUAUACACCGCCCGUCACACCAUGGGAGCGGGUUCUGCCAGAAGUAGUUAGCCUAACCGCAAGGAGGGCGAUUACCACGGCAGGGUUCGUGACUGGGGUG
rnacentral:rRNA from 1 species